rnacentral:misc_RNA from 1 species
GGAAAAAUUGUUCUAUCUACCUAUAUUUUUACAUCAGAACUCGUGGGUGGAGGCUGGAAAAAAACUAAACUAGAAGUUGAGAGAACUGCAUGUAUAAUUCGAACUAAUAUGCUACAAAAGGGGAAAGUUGAGGCACCCGGCUCCUUGGGCUAGGCAAGAAAAAGAAUAUAAACAGCCUGGAGUGAACUGCUACGUCACAAUCAGUAGAUUGUUUUCAUAUCCACUGGUGUUAACGAUUGGGCGUAAAGGAUCGAUCUUCCAUUGGCC